ACUAGACCCAAAGAACCCAUCCAAAAAAGUUCACCGUCUACUCUCCCUCCCGAAAUUCGUUAAUCCCUUCCCCUAUCUGUACUAUCGAGUCUCGACACACUCUACCUUCUCAGAAUUCUUACGAAAAAGCCUUAAGUCGUAACCUAAUCAAAUCACCCAGAAAAGAACAACCACAAAAUUCCGGGAUAAUGAUCGGAAAUCAGGUCUCCAGUGAUGGUCUAUCGUUGAACAUCACUGAAACGUCAAAGAAUCAACUCUACGAUAUCAUGGAAAAAGUACUCUCAUCCUUUCUUAUGUUUAAGGAGGUUCAUACAUGAAGCGGAAAUGAACGCAUAUAGAUUAAUAUUUGUGGGAAGUGGCAAAGAAGCUGAUGCCGACAAACCUCUCAUUCGGGGUAAUUGGGAGCAUGUGGAUGAUUACGCGAGUUCGGGAUGCGUGAGUGGAUGCUUUGGAGCUUAACUAGAGUCUAGACCGAGGAAGGAUGCCGAGAAAUGAUCAAGAACUGUUUAGAAGGAGGAACUCCUAGCUGUGAAACUUUUACUUCAUUGAUAAUAUGGAAAUGCCUAAUAGUGAUCGGUGAUCAUCUCAAUCUACUGUUAUUUAUUUUUCCUUCUCUAGGCAUACAAUAUCUAUGGCCUUCCUGAAUUACAUGACAUAUAUGAUGAAUCAGAUGCAACAACAUAA